AUGAGAAGGUUGCAUGGGAUUGGAAUAAGAGGUACAAAUUGCAUUGGGAGGUGCAAAAAGGAUUUGCUAUUCGUAGGCAUCUUGCUUGAUGAAGAUUAUGAGGCAAAAGUUGCUGAAUUUGGUGUUGCAAGGUUGACUGAAAAUUCUCAGAUGGGUUAUAGCUUUUUUGUUGGUACCCAUGUGGGGGCACCAAGACCAACUUCAAGCAUGACGGGUUGGUUCGCUUUGAUGGGCCAGGGGGUGUUGGGUACUGUUUAUGUUCUUAGAGUUCUUAGGUUCAAACUUCACAAGCCAUGA